GAUGAACGCUGGCGGCGUGCCUAAUACAUGCAAGUCGAGCGAACAGACGAGGAGCUUGCUCCUCUGACGUUAGCGGCGGACGGGUGAGUAACACGUGGAUAACCUACCUAUAAGACUGGGAUAACUUCGGGAAACCGGAGCUAAUACCGGAUAAUAUAUUGAACCGCAUGGUUCAUUAGUGAAAGACGGUUUUGCUGUCACUUUUAGAUGGAUCCGCGCCGCAUUAGCUAGUUGGUAAGGUAACGGCUUACCAAGGCAACGAUGCGUAGCCGACCUGAGAGGGUGAUCGGCCACACUGGAACUGAGACACGGUCCAGACUCCUACGGGAGGCAGCAGUAGGGAAUCUUCCGCAAUGGGCGAAAGCUUGACGGAGCAACGCCGCGUGAGUGAUGAAGGUCUUCGGAUCGUAAAACUCUGUUAUUAGGGAAGAACAAAUGUGUAAGUAACUGUGCACGUCUUGACGGUACCUAAUCAGAAAGCCACGGCUAACUACGUG
rnacentral:rRNA from 1 species